rnacentral:rRNA from 1 species
CCUACGGGUGGCAGCAGUGGGGAAUAUUGCACAAUGGGGGGAACCCUGAUGCAGCGACGCCGCGUGGGUGAGGAAGUACUUCGGUAUGUAAAGCCCUAUCAGCAGGGAAGAAAAUGACGGUACCUGACUAAGAAGCCCCGUCUAACUACGUGCCAGCAGCGGCGGUACUACGGCGGGGGCAAGCGUUAUCCGGAUUUACUGGGUGUAAAGGGGGCGUAGACGGGGUGACAAGUCUGGUGUGAAAGGCCGGGGCUCAACCCCGGGACUGCAUUGGAAACUGGCAUGCUGGAGUGCCGGAGGGGUAAGCGGAAUUCCUAGUGUAGCGGUGAAAUGCGUAGAUAUUAGGAGGAACACCGAUGGCGAAGGCGGCUUGCUGGACGGUAACUGACGUUGAGGCUCGAAAGCGUGGGGAGCAAACAGGAUUAGAUACCCGAGUAGUC